UAAACUAUGAUUCAUAUUAAGUCAAUAAUAAAUAAAAAGUUAUAAAAUCUAUAUAGCUGUGUAAUCUGCAAUCAUUUUCUUAUUGUAAAUAGAACCUCAAACAAUUAUAUUUCUCUCGUAAAAUGGCAUAUUUUCUAAACUUAUAUGCAUUUAUAAUGUUUUUUUGUAUAUUUGAGAAUAUGUUUAAUACGGCUGCUAAUCCUUUGGACAUUGCCCAGUGGAAUAAAAAUCAAGAUAAACCGGCAUAUGCCAUUUGGACUUGAAAUUGCGAUAAGUUUUAAUACAGAAAUAAUACAAAUAAAUUUUACGACAAAAUUUGACUA